ACAGGGAGAGGAGCAUGGGGGUGUGUUGCUCGUACCGACCAAGGUGAAUUUCUGGCAGCAAAGGCCGACACACUUGAGCUGGGGCCUCUACAUGCAGAAGCUUUGGCAUGUGUGCUAACUACUGAAGCAAGUGCGGAACUGGGCAUCCACAGGGUGAUUGUUGAGUCUGAUUCCCAAGUGCUUGUCCAUGCACUCAAUUCUGGUGAAUAUGAACGAGCGCUGAUCGGUGUCCUCCUACGGGAGACGCGAAGUAUCUGCCAUGCGAACUUUGAAUCAUUUAGUUUCAGUUUCUGUAACCGAAAUUGUAAUAAGGUAGCACAUGAGUUAGCUGCUUUUGGCUUCAGAUCGGGAGCUGCUGAUCUGUCGUGGAUCGAGUAUGCCCCAGACUUUGUUUCUGUUCUGGUCGCCAGCGACAUUGCUGAGCCAGUUUAG
rnacentral:rRNA from 1 species